rnacentral:rRNA from 1 species
CCUACGGGAGGCAGCAGUAAGGAAUAUUGGUCAAUGGACGCAAGUCUGAACCAGCCAUGCCGCGUGAAGGAUUAAGGUCCUCUGGAUUGUAAACUUCUUUUAUCUGGGACGAAAAAAGGCGAUUCUUCGUCACUUGACGGUACCAGAUGAAUAAGCACCGGCUAACUCCGUGCCAGCAGCCGCGGUAAUACGGAGGGUGCAAGCGUUAUCCGGAUUCACUGGGUUUAAAGGGUGCGUAGGCGGGCAGGUAAGUCAGUGGUGAAAUCCUAGAGCUUAACUCUAGAACUGCCAUUGAUACUAUCUGUCUUGAAUAUUGUGGAGGUAAGCGGAAUAUGUCAUGUAGCGGUGAAAUGCUUAGAUAUGACAUAGAACACCCAUUGCGAAGGCAGCUUACUACGCAUAUAUUGACGCUGAGGCACGAAAGCGUGGGGAUCAAACAGGAUUAGAUACCCUGGUAGUCCACGCCCUAAACGAUGAUUACUCGACAUUUGUGAUACACUAUAAGUGUCUGAGCGAAAGCAUUAAGUAAUCCACCUGGAAGUACGACCGCAAGGUUGAAACUUAAAUGAAUUGCGG